AAGAGUUCAUGCCCUCACGGGUAGACCUCCCACCCUUGUGUAUUUAUACUUUGUUGCUUUGGCGGGCCGCCGCAAGGCUACCGGCUUCGGCUGGUGCGUGCCUGCCAGAGAACCUUCAAACUCUGAAUGUUAGUGUCGUCUGAGUACUAUAUAAUAGUUA
rnacentral:misc_RNA from 1 species